AUUGAACGCUGGCGGCAUGCCUUACACAUGCAAGUCGAAUGGCAGCACGGGAGCAAUCCUGGUGGCGAGUGGCGAACGGGUGAGUAAUAUAUCGGAACGUGCCCGGUCGUGGGGGAUAACGUAGCGAAAGCUACGCUAAUACCGCAUACGAUCUACGGAUGAAAGCGGGGGAUCGCGAGACCUCGCGCGAUUGGAGCGGCCGAUAUCAGAUUAGGAGUUGGUGAGGUAAAGGCUCACCAAGCCGACGAUCUGUAGCUGGUCUGAGAGGACGACCAGCCACACUGGGACUGAGACACGGCCCAGACUCCUACGGGAGGCAGCAGUGGGGAAUUUUGGACAAUGGGCGCGAAGCC
rnacentral:rRNA from 1 species